rnacentral:rRNA from 1 species
GACGAACCGUGCGAACGUUGUUCGGAAUCACUGGGCUUAAAGGGCGCGUAGGCGGCCCGCCGCGUCCGGGGUGAAAUCCUCCCGCUCAACGGGAGAACGGCCUCGGAUACGGGCGGGCUGGAGGCGGGUAGGGGCGGGCGGAACUGUGGGUGGAGCGGUGAAAUGCGUUGAUAUCCACAGGAACUCCGGUGGCGAAGGCGGCCCGCUGGACCCGAUCUGACGCUGAGGCGCGAAAGCCAGGGGAGCGAACGGG